rnacentral:rRNA from 1 species
UGUGUAGGCGGAUCGUUAAGUACCUUGUGAAAUCCCACGGCUCAACCGUGGAACGGCUGGGUAUACUGGCGAUCUUGAGCGGCCUAGGGGCAGAUGGAACAAGUGGUGGAGCGGUGAAAUGCGUAGAUAUCACUUGGAACGCCAAAGGUGAAAACAGUCUGCUGGGGGCCUGCUGACGCUGAGACACGAAAGCCAGGGGAGCGAACGGGAUUAGAUACCCCCGGUAGUCCUGGCCCUAAACGAUGUCGACUAGAUCGUGGAACCUCUGACGGUGUCACGGUCGAAGCAAAAGUGCUAAGUCGACCGCCUGGGAAGUACGGUCGCAAGGCUAAA